CUGACUGCAGCCUGAGUUCCCCGGAGCAAGGCUGCUUCUCUCCACCCACUCCUCACCAAGAACUCCUGAACUUGAGAGUGGACGACUUCAAAGCUAGCUCUCACAGACUCACCUGGAAAAGAGUUCAGCUGCGCGUUCAUUGAACCGAGAGGCCAGAUCACCUAUGUGAGGCGGUGGGAACCAUAUGGAGAUUUAUAUUAGAACUUCAGCAAAGUGCACAGCUGCAGCCGGCAGAAGCCAGCUCUCGGGCUGACAGGCAAAUGAACCAGAUCGUGGACGGGGCCUCUGGGUGGCAGCUCCGGCCUUUUGGUUGUUGGACAACUAUAGUCAGAACUGAAAUGGAACAGGGGCAGGAGAAAUAACACACUUUUACUCCACGCAACUGUUGCUUUCACAUGAUCUUCAGGAAUGUAACUGGGAUAAUUGUCCAAAUUGAAUCCCAUACCCUGUCAUGGGAAUCUUGAGGAACCCAUUAAUGUAAAGCUGCGGCCAGAGUUCCAUGAGGAGGCAGAAUGUUCUAGAUGAUCCCUGUCUCUUCUCCAUUGAGGAAGUCGUUUCUUGCCUCUCUGUAAGCUCAGUUAAUGUAAGUAGAUUCUGGUUGUAACAGGAAAUGAAAAAAAAAAA
rnacentral:lncRNA from 1 species